rnacentral:misc_RNA from 1 species
UUAGGGAGCUGGCUUGCCUGCGAUGCAAACAACUCGGUGUGUCAGCAGGACCGCAGUGAUGCCAUCGCAGGCAAGCCAGCUCCCACA